rnacentral:rRNA from 1 species
UACGAAGGGGGCUAGCGUUGUUCGGAGUUACUGGGCGUAAAGGGCGCGUAGGCGGCGCACCAAGUCAGGCGUGAAAGCCCUGGGCUCAACCCGGGAAUUGCGCUUUGAGACUGGUGUGCUUGAGUAUGGGAGAGGUGAGUGGAAUUUCCGGUGUAGCGGUGAAAUGCGUAGAUAUCGAGAGGAACACCGGUGGGCGAAAGGCGGCCAACUGGACGGAAUACUGA